UCUGGUGGCAAUGGCGGAGGGGAAACACGCGUACCCAUCCCGAACACGACCGUUAAGACCUCCAGCGCCGAUGAUACUUGGGGCGGGAGCCCCUGGGAAAGUAGGACGCCGCCAGGC
rnacentral:rRNA from 1 species